rnacentral:rRNA from 1 species
UACGGGGGGUGCGAGCGUUGUCCGGAAUCACUGGGCGUAAAGGGCGCGUAGGUGGUUUGAUAAGGGUGUGGUGAAAGCCCGGAGCUCAACUCCGGGUCUGCCGUGCCGACUGUCAAACUCGAGGGCUGUAGAGGCAGACGGAAUUCCGGGUGUAGCGGUGGAAUGCGUAGAGAUCCGGAGGAAGACCAGUGGCGAAGGCGGUCUGCUGGGCAGUUUCUGACACUGAUGCGCGACAGCGUGGGGAGCAAACAGG